rnacentral:rRNA from 1 species
GAGGAAUAUUGGACAAUGGGUGCGAGCCUGAUCCAGCCAUCCCGCGUGAAGGACGACGGUUCUAUGGAUUGUAAACUUCUUUUAUACUGGGAUAAACCUACCCUCGUGAGGGUAGCUGAAGGUACAGUAUGAAUAAGCACCGGCUAACUCCGUGCCAGCAGCCGCGGUAAUACGGAGGGUGCAAGCGUUAUCCGGAUUUAUUGGGUUUAAAGGGUCCGUAGGCGGAUCUGUAAGUCAGUGGUGAAAUCUCACAGCUUAACUGUGAAACUGCCAUUGAUACUGCAGGUCUUGAGUAAAGUAGAAGUGGCUGGAAUAAGUAGUGUAGCGGUGAAAUGCAUAGAUAUUACUUAGAACACCAAUUGCGAAGGCAGGUCACUAUGUUUUAACUGACGCUGAUGGACGAAAGCGUGGGGAGCGAAC